rnacentral:rRNA from 1 species
UACGGGGGGGGCAAGCGUUGUUCGGAAUUACUGGGCGUAGAGGGCUCGUAGGUGGCCAACUAAGUCGGACGUGAAAUCCCUCAGCUUAACUGGGGAACUGCGUCCGAUACUGGAUGGCUCGAGUUUGGGAGAGGGAUGCGGAAUUCCAGGUGUAGCGGUGAAAUGCGUAGAUAUCUGGAGGAACACCGGUGGCGAAGGCGGCAUCCUGGACCAACACUGACACUGAGGAGCGAAAGCCAGGGGAGCAAACGGG